AGUUGUCAUAUGUUAGAGCUGACCAACCCUUUUCCUGUUGUUAGGCUCAAGCUGACUGACAUGGACAGUGACUGAAAGAAGGAAUCAAAUGUUGUGUGUACUGCCUCGUUGUCAUCUGGGACUCUGCCUUGUCGGGAUUCAUAAUUGUGUGGAAGCUUCCAAGUGUGCUUGGUCUAGUUCUUUAGGAUCAGUUACAGCUAUUCCUCCCUUGCUAUACAAAAGGAGUUACAU